rnacentral:rRNA from 1 species
AUUGAACGCUGGCGGAAUGCUUUACACAUGCAAGUCGAACGGCAGCACGGACUUCGGUCUGGUGGCGAGUGGCGAACGGGUGAGUAACAUAUCGGAACGUAUCCAAUAAUGGGGGAUAACUAAUCGAAAGGUUGGCUAAUACCGCAUACGCCCUACGGGGAAAGCUAGGGACCUUCGGGCCUGGCGUUAAUGGAGCGGCCGAUAUCUGAUUAGCUAGUUGGUGGGGUAAAGGCCCACCAAGGCGACGAUCAGUAGCUGGUCUGAGAGGACGACCAGCCACACUGGAACUGAGACACGGUCCAGACUCCUACGGAGGCAGCAGUGGGGAAUUUUGGACAAUGGGCGCAAGCCUGAUCCAGCCAUUCCGCGUGAGUGAAGAAGGGCC